AAUACUCGUUUAAGAAACAGUUAAGAACUCAGAUGUAGAUUAUGAACUAGAUUUCAAUAACAAGUAGCGACUUACUAGUGAUAUGAUGUGAAGUUAUAAUCCUCCAUUACGAACAAGUCGAAUGAAUACCGAAAUCUCGCUCAACUUUGAAUUAUAUUUUUAGCGACUAGGUAUAUCGUAUUUGACAAUUCAACAUUAAUGAAAGACAAGUGUAUAGUAUGCUUGU